GAUCCCACCGUCUACUCAGGUGUCUUCUUCGGCUCCUCUCGGCAGUGACGGUUUCUCAGACUUCCCUGGCUUGGGGCGAGCUUGAGAGUUUUGAGGGGUACUGGUCAGGUACUGCGUAUUGGAAUUUGCCUCACGUUUUUCUCAUGAUCCGAUGGGACCAUGGGUUUCAAGAGCACAGAGGUCUGUUUUGCCCACCAGUGUAUCCCCAGUUCCUGGAACAACCCCCAGACAGAAUGAAAAAGAAAAACUUACUUUGACAAGUCAUUCUUAUUAAAACAUUGAUGAAAAAGCAACACUUCCUGUAUCUUCCAAAGUGGAACAGAUGCACACCCCGGGCCCCGCAAGGCCUCUCGCAGAUGAGGAAACCGAGGCGCAGAGAGGCAAAGGGAUGUGUCGAAAGCCACACAGCUGGAGCAAGUGGUGGAACUGGCCUGGGAACAUGGGUCGGUGUGUUUUCCCUCCAUCCCACAGCGACAUGGUGGGGGUGGGGGUGGGGAGUUGGCAGAGGUAGCCCUUUAAAAACUGCGGUAGGGCCACCACAAGUAAACAGAAGCCUUGACAGCUGUCGGGCCCUCUCUCCAAGCACAAGGCAGAGGCUGGCCCUGUUUCCAGCAGAAGGCCUUGGUCCGGGCCGGGCCGCCUUGACUCACAGGACUCAGGCUCGCGUUGCUCCUUUGUGGGCUGGAGGGGCCCCGAGAUCACAGACCCCGGAGUGGGUGUGAGCACCGUCUCUGCACCCAGAAGCUGAGAUCAGCUUUUGGGCUGCUCUUUCUUCAGUCAUUUACUGGUUUCCCAUGAUAAUAAUAACUACCCCUGCUGAGCUUUAUAGUUCACAAAGUACUUUCACAAACACUCUUUCAUUUACUCCUCACAUCAGCCUUGUGAUGAGGAGUUAAUAUGCCCAUUUUAUGGAAACAGAAACUGGAGUUCAGGGAGGGAGGUUCUGGGAAUGGCCUCAGAUCAGAAGGCCAGCAGUGGCCCUCACGCCAGCAUUCCCGAGCCCCGGGCCAGACCCGGCUCCUUCCUUCCACGGGGCAGCCUUCUCAGAGGAGUGCGGUGGCUUCUGGAGGGGCCGGCCUAUCUCAGUCUGCCAGCAGUGACCAGACAAUCUGCUCUCAUCAUCUGGGAGCUGGGUGAAGACCCCUCCCCACCCUCACCUCCUGCAAAUAUUGUGUGUUGGGGGGGGGGACACAAAGAAGCAGAAGUGACUGCUGAGUGAGGGAGCUGGAGAGAGUACUGGGGAGGGGUCCCCUGCCGCCUUGACCUUGGGCCCCGCAGAUGCAUGGAAGGGACCAGAAGUUCCUGGAACACGAGCCCAUCGCCGGGGUGCCCAGUGCCAGCUGUUGCCAUCUGCUUGUGGCAAAACGAGAAAAAUAGGACAAUACAGUGAAGUUUUCCUAAAGCUAGACCUACUCGAUCUGAAGUACGGCCCUUUCCCUGGAGCUGUGUAUUUUCAGGGUCUGUGCAUGUGUGUGUUUAAAAAGGACCUUUUCUUUGACAUUUUCUUUAAUGUCCUUAACUGAGCAAAAUAAAAGACUAGUGACCAUGUCA
ensembl:lncRNA